UGGGGGAUAUUGCACAAUGGGCGAAAGCCUGAUGCAGCGACGCCGCGUGGGGGAUGAAGGCCUUCGGGUUGUAAACUUCUUUUGCUCUGAACAAGGCAUGCCCUUGGGGUGUGUUGAGUGUAGGGGUUGAUUAGCGCCGGCUAACUACGUGCCAGCAGCCGCGGUAAUACGUAGGGCGCGAGCGUUGUCCGGAAUUAUUGGGCGUAAAGGGCUUGUAGGUGGCUGGUUGCGUCUGUCGUGAAAGCUCAUGGCUUAACUGUGGGUUUGCGGUGGGUACGGGCUGGCUUGGGUGCAGUAGGGGGGGCUGGAAUUCCUGGUGUAGCGGUGGAAUGCGCAGAUAUCAGGAGGAAUACCGGUGGCGAAGGCGGGUCUCUGGGCUGUUACAGACGCUGAGGAGCGAAAGCGUGGGGAGCGAGCAGG
rnacentral:rRNA from 1 species